AUAUUAAUAAGCGGAGGAAAAGAAACCAACUGGGAUUCCCUUAGUAAGGGCGACUGAAAUGGGAGAAGCUCAUCCCUGAAUCCUGGCACAAAAGUGUUUAGGAAAUGUAGGGUAUGAAAUUAGUUUAACCAAGAUUGAAGAAUUCAAAGUAUUUGGAAAGGUACGCCAUAGAGGGUUAUAGCCCCGUAAGAAUUCUUAGGUUUUGGCCGACUGGUUUUAGAGAGUCGUGUUGUUUGUGAGUACAGCACAAAGUGGGAGGUAUGUUACUUCUAAAGCUAAAUAUUGGCUGGAGACCGAUAGCGCACAAGUA
rnacentral:rRNA from 1 species